GCCUCUUUGGGGAGAACAUGCUCUUCCCGUGGUGGUUCCAGGCCGGGCGCUGGGCUCUGGAGAAACGUGGGCGAAUCUGGUCUGCAGGCAGGGCCGGCGGAGGAGGAUGAAGUGACCUCGCUAUGGGGACAGCGUUGGGAGCGACGGUAAGGAUGAGGGAAGAGGGGCUGUGGGGCCUGGGGAGACUGGAGCACGGAGCCCCCACACAGGAGUUUGGCACAUUUGAGAAGCGGUGAAUUCUUUGGUGGGCCUGGAGGAGGCCUGCCUAGAACAGCUGGACUUGGAAUGCAACAGAAGCGGAGACACACUGGCCAGCCUGCGUGGGUGACUUUACCAGGACGGUGACGGGGAGCCAGGAAAGGGUUCAAAGCAGGAGAGAGACGGCUGGAAGCCGUCUGGGGAUAGCCCCUAGGAUCGACCACUCAAGGGAUGGAUUAAGGAGGCUAGGUGGGCCACAGGGGGCUGGAGGAGGUGAGGGAGGAACAGAGCGGUCGCUGGACAGGAGGAAAGAGGCUUGAUGGGCCUCCGGGGCUAAGACUUGUGGGAGGUGACAGCAUUCCCCGAAACAGCCCAGCGAAGGGCAGGUGUGGGGAAGGAGUCGGGCGGAGGGGAGGUGAACAGGUCACACUGCGUCAGAGGGGCAGCAGGACCUCCCCGUGGACACCUUCAGCUGCGAGUUAGACAAGAGUCCUGGGCUCAGCAGAAAGCCCUUCCCACCUCCUCUUCCGCACCCUCUCACCCUCUUAUCUCCUCCUCCUCUCCCCACUCCCACCUCUCCCACUUGCCCCUCCCUCCCCUGUCUGCCCGAUUCCGCCCCCUCCCCUUUCUUGGCCAUUUAGUCUUGGCUCAGUGGUGUGUACUGGCAGGCACCUGGGUCCUGGGGUCCACCUGCAGGCCUGGGUUCCAAUCCCAGUGUGUGGGUUCUUAACAGCACGUGACCCUCAAAAGUAACCCACAAAGACCCAGGUUUGCCCUGGACACCCCGGCCCACCCCCACCAUGCCCAGCAUCAGUAUGUCAUGGCCAAAGCCGCCAACCAUGGAGCACUCGCUAAGGCCAGCGCCUCCCACUACAUGCUGUCUUCCAACCUUCCAGCACUCCCUAAGCAGGCGUGACUAUCCCCAUUUUACAGAGAAGGGCCCUCAGGCGCACUCUGGCCCAGCCAAGAAGGACCUGAGCCGGCAUGGAACCAGCGCCAUCUGAUCUGAAACCUGUGUCAGGGCGACCACAAACUCAUCAUCCAUAAUAGCCCUUCCUAUGAGUGCUGGAAUCUGGAUUCCAGGGGACGCCAGGACAACAGGCAGAAACCAGGACUGCUCCAGGCACCCCAAGACAUAGGGUCACGGUAGAGAUCAGACAUAUCCACAAGGUGCAGCAAGGAACUGGGGUCAUUCUGGGUGGCCCUGUGGACUGGAAGAGUUGUGCCCCGUGGCUGCUUUAUCCUGGAGAAGGAAAGGACAGCUGUUUCCUCCGGAGCAGAUGGGGUUCAGCCACCAAUUCACCCAGCGAACUUUUCUCCACGGUGAGUCUCCCCAAGUCCUACCCCAAAGUGGCACCGUGUGGACUGACACUGGAUUGGGUAAACCUGGUCUACUGCACGCCGUCAGCAGAUAUUAGCUGUCACUGUUAUAUUCUUGAUGGAGUCUCCCUCGAGAGGGCUGAGUUCAAGGACUCUGAACAGGACAGAACCAUGGAAGGCAAUGGGGGCUGUCCAUGCCAUCCUGCCAGCUCUCCUCCUGCAGGAAGCCCUCCCUGACCACCCCUGUCCCCGGGGCUACUUUAAGACUCCAGAGGUUUCACCAUUUGGCUUUUGGUGGGCUGGCUUCGUGGUCUGGGGUUGCCAGGCUCAAAGUUUUUGUUCGGCUGCUGAACACCAAGGCCUACAAGCCCUCUCCUUUUCCAUCCCUCUCAGCUUCUGUACGGGGGCCUCCAGCCCCAUCCAGAAAUGCCCUGGCCUAAAAAAGCACCCUGCCUGUUCUUCCAUGAUGAAAUCAAAGGUCACAGACAUUCAGGCACACGCCCUAAGUCACCCAGCACGGAGGCUCCAUGAAGAAGACCGAGGCAGAAGGCGCCGGCAUUUGUAGAACAUACUUCAUCUCAUCUGAUCCUCCCAGGAGCCCACAAGUGUGAAUCAUCGCUCCUGCCCUUUGCCCAUUCACCUGCAGGUUUCUCUGCCUUUCCUCUCCGUCUGCCUGGGAUCAUUACAGAGCAAAGAUAAACC
rnacentral:lncRNA from 10 species